ACUCUCGGCAAUAGAUACCUCGACUCUCACAUCGAUGAAGAAGAUAGCAAAAUGCGAUACUUGGUGUGAAUUGCAGAAUCCUGUGAACCAUCUAGUCUUUGAAAGCAAGUUACACCAGAAGCCACUAGGCCGAGAGCACUCCUGCCUGGGCAUCAUGCAUCGCGUCUCCCCCUCUCCACGCCCAAAUGUGCAGCAGGAGCGGAGAGUAGUUCCCCAUGUGCGGCGCCAUGCAGUGGGCCUAAAUGUGAUCCCCCAGCGACGCAGAUCAUGACAAGUGGUUGUUGAACCCUCAAUGAGCAUUUCGUGCACCACUGCAUCGGGACACACGAUUAGACCCAACGGCACGUGCGAGGACAUCGCCUUCGACCACGACCCCAGGUUAGGCAAGAUCACCCACUGAGUUUAAGCAUAUUAAUAAUUUGAGGAAAAGAAACUUAUAUGAUUCUCUUAGUAACGGUGAGCGAACCGGGAAUCGACCAACUUGAGAAUCAGGCGGCCAUGCCAUUCGAAUUGUAGUCUAGAGAAGCGUCCUUAGCAGCGGACCGGGGUCGAGUCCCCUAGAAUGGGGUGCCAUAGAGGCUGAGAGGCCCGUUGCUCCUAAACCCCGAAGCACCUCGAGUUUCUGUCAGCGAGUCGGGUUGUUUGGGAAUGCAGCCCCAAUUGGUAGGUAAGUUUUGUCCAAGGCUAAAUACGGGUGAUAGACCGAUAGUGAAUAAGUACCGCAAGGGAAAGAUGAAAAGGACUUUGAAAAGAGAGUCAAAGAGUGCUUGAAAUUAUCAGGAGGGAAGCAAAUGGGGGCCGGCGAUGCAUCCUAGUCGGAUGUGGAACGGUGAGAGUCGGUCCGCUGAUCAACUCGGGGCACGGACCAGCACGGAUCGACGUGGUAUUCAAAGCUUGGGCUGUCAAUAUGCUCAUUGUACGGCAUCAGGCUGAUCCAGGUAGACAGCGCGUGCCUCGUACGUGCCUUGGCAACUGCGCACUCCCGGUGCUAGCCUGCGGGCUCCCCAUUUGACCCGUCUUGAAACACGGACGGAGGGGUGCUCCAACGACCGACCUUGGUCUUUUGAGAAUGGUUCGAGUGAGCGUACCUGUCGGGACCCAAAAGAUAGUGAACUAUGCCUGAGCGGGGCGAAGCCAAAGGAAACUCUGGUGGAGGCCCGUAGUGAUACUGACGUGCAAAUCAUUCGUUUGGCUUAAGUAUAGGGGCGAAAGACUAGUAGCUGGUUCCCUCCGAAGUUUCCCUCAGGAUAGCUGGAGCUCUAGUGUGGGUUCUAUCGGGUAAAGCCAAUGAUUAGGGGCAUCGGGGGCGCAACAUCCUCGACCUAUUCUCAAAUUUUAAAUAGGUAGGACGGCACGGCUGCUCCAUUGAACCACGCCGGAGAAUCGUGAGCUCCAAGUGGGCCAUUUUUGGUAAGCAGAACUAGCGAUGCGGGAUGAACCGAAAGUCGAGUUACGGUGCCCAACUGCAUGCUAACCUAGAUCCGACAAAGGGUGUUGGUCGAUUAAGACAAUAAGACGGUGGUCAUGGAAGUCGAUAUCCACUAAGGAGUGUGUAACAACUCACCUUCCGAAUCAACUAGCCCCAAAAAUAGAUGGCACUGAAGCGCGCGACCUAUACCCAGGCGUAGGGGCAAGUGCCUUGCCCCGAUGAGUAGGAGGGCAUGGCAGUCGCUGUAAAACACUGGGCGCGAGCCCGGGCAGAGCACCUGUCAGUGCAGAUCUUGGUGUUAGUAGCAAAUAUUCAAAUGAGAACUUUGAAGGCUGAAGAAGGGUAAGUUUCUAUGUGAACGGCACUUGUACGUGGGUUAGUAGAUCCUAAGGGUCGGGGGAAGCUCGACAGAUAGCGCGUUAAGCGCCUGCUCUGAAAGGGAAUCAAGUUAUAAUUCCCAAACUGGGAUGCAACGUUUGAUGGUAAUGUUAGGGAGUCCAGAGACAUUGGCGGGGGCCGCGGGAAGAGUUAUCUUUUCUGUCCGCCCAUCCUGGAAAUGGCUCAGCCGGAGGUAGGGUCCAGCGGCUGGAAGAGCACCGCACGUCGCGUGGUGUUCGGUGCGCCCCAGUAGCCCUUGAAAAUCCAGAGGACCGAGUAUAGUCCGCGCUUGGUCGUACUCAUAGCCGCAUCAGGUCUCCAAGGUGAAUAGCCUCUGUGAACGAUAUGUUAAUUAUUCAAAAACGA
rnacentral:rRNA from 1 species